rnacentral:rRNA from 1 species
GUGAGGAAUAUUGGUCAAUGGACGAGAGUCUGAACCAGCCAAGUCGCGUGAAGGAAGACGGUUCUAUGAAUUGUAAACUUCUUUUGUGCAGGAAUAAAGUGGGUUACGUGUAACCUUUUGUAUGUACUGUACGAAUAAGGAUCGGCUAACUCCGUGCCAGCAGCCGCGGUAAUACGGAGGAUCCGAGCGUUAUCCGGAUUUAUUGGGUUUAAAGGGUGCGUAGGUGGAUUGAUAAGUCAGCGGUGAAAGUUUGCAGCUUAACUGUAAAAUUGCCGUUGAAACUGUCGGUCUUGAGUGCAAAUGAGGUAGGCGGAAUGUGUUGUGUAGCGGUGAAAUGCUUAGAUAUAACACAGAACUCCGAUUGCGAAGGCAGCUUACUGGGAUGCAACUGACACUAAUGCACGAAAGCGUGGGUAUCAAACAGGAUUAGAAACCCGUGUAGUCC